rnacentral:rRNA from 1 species
GUUGUAUGGUUAAGUGACGAAGCGUGCAGGGUGGAUGCCUAGGCAGUCAGAGGCGAAGAAGGACGUGCUAAUCUGCGAAAAGCGUGGAGGAGUUGAUAAGAAGCGUAAUCACUCCACGAUAUCCGAAUGGGGCAACCCAGUAGAUGAAGAAUCUACUAUUGUUAACUGAAUACAUAGGUUAACAAGGCGAACCGGGAGAACUGAAACAUCUCAGUACCCCGAGGAAAAGAAAUCAACCGAGAUUCUGUAAGUAGCGGCGAGCGAACGCGGAAGAGCCGUUAGUGAUAGUAAGUGUGUUAGGAGAAUGGGCUGGGAAGCCCAAUCGUAGAGGGUGAUAAUCCCGUAUCCGAAGGCGCGUUUAUGGUACUAAGCUAACAAGAAGUAGGGCGGGACACGAGAAAUCCUGUUUGAAGAUGGGGGGACCAUCCUCCAAGGCUAAAUACUCCUGACUGACCGAUAGUGAACCAGUACCGUGAGGGAAAGGCGAAAAGAACCCUGGUGAAGGGAGUGAAAUAGAACCUGAAACCCUGUACGUACAAGCAGUGGGAGCCUCUUUUGUGGGGGUGACUGCGUACCUUUUGUAUAAUGGGUCAGCGACUUAUAUUAUGUAGCGAGGUUAACCGAAUAGGGGAGCCGAAGGGAAACCGAGUCUUAACUGGGCGCUUAGUUGCAUGAUAUAGACCCGAAACCCGGUGAUCUAGCCAUGGGCAGGUUGAAGGUUGGGUAACACUAACUGGAGGACCGAACCGACUACUGUUGAAAAAGUAGCGGAUGACUUGUGGCUGGGGGUGAAAGGCCAAUCAAACCGGGAGAUAGCUGGUUCUCCCCGAAAUCUAUUUAGGUAGAGCCUUAGAUGAAUACCUUCGGGGGUAGAGCACUGUUUCGGCUAGGGGGUCAUCCCGACUUACCAACCCGAUGCAAACUGCGAAUACCGAAGAGUAAUGUCUAGGAGACACACGGCGGGUGCUAACGUUCGUCGUGAAGAGGGAAACAACCCAGACCGCCAGCUAAGGUCCCGAAGUACUAGUUAAGUGGGAAACGAAGUGGGAAGGCUUAGACAGCUAGGAUGUUGGCUUAGAAGCAGCCAUCAUUUAAAGAAAGCGUAAUAGCUCACUAGUCGAGUCGGCCUGCGCGGAAGAUGUAACGGGGCUAAAACUAGUCACCGAAGCUGCGGCAUUCAGGGAGCAGGUUUCAGGGUUCAGGCUACAGGAGUCAGGGCAUGGUAAAACGAUUUGAAGAUUUAAAUGUAUUUCAAAAAGCGUAUCGGGUUUCAUUAGAAAUUCAUCAAGCGACAUUAAAUUUUCCAAAAGUAGAACAAUUUGCCUUGGCUGACCAACUAAGACGUUCAAGUAAAAGCAUCUGUGCCAAUCUGGCAGAAGGUUUUGCGAAGCAACGUUCAUCUGCUGAGUUUAGACGUUAUCUUGCAAUGGCAAUAGGCAGUGCAGAUGAGACACGAGUUUGGUUAAGAUAUUGUAUAGACCUGAAUUAUAUAGAGAAACAACAAUGGCAAGCUUGGCGUAAUGAAUACGAAGAGGUUGCCAAAAUGUUGAAUGGUUUGAGUGAAAGUCUGAGAGACUGACACCAGAACCCUGAAACCUGUUCCCUGAUUGGGUAGGGGAGCGUUGUGUAAGUCGAUGAAGGUGGUUCGAGAGGGCUGCUGGAGAUAUCACAAGUGCGAAUGCUGACAUAAGUAACGAUAAAGGGGGUGAAAAACCCCCUCGCCGGAAGACCAAGGGUUCCUGUCCAACGUUAAUCGGGGCAGGGUGAGUCGGCCCCUAAGGCGAGGCUGAAGAGCGUAGUCGAUGGGAAACGGGUUAAUAUUCCCGUACUUGUGAUAAGAGCGAUGUGGGGACGGAGCAGGUUAGGUUAUCCGGGUGACGGAAGUCCCGGUCCAAGCGUGUAGGAUGGAUGAUUAGGCAAAUCCGGUCAUCUAUAUCAGAGGCGUGAUGGGGAGACUCUACGGAGUUGAAGUAACCGAUACCACACUUCCAGGAAAAGCCGCUAAGCUUAUCUUAUCAUAAACCGUACUGAAAACCGACACAGGUGGUCAGGUAGAGAAUACUCAGGCGCUUGAGAGAACUCGGGUGAAGGAACUAGGCAAAAUAGCACCGUAACUUCGGGAGAAGGUGCGCUGAUAGUAAUUGAAGUCCUUUGCGGAUGGAGGUGAAGUCAGUCGAAGUGACCAGCUGGCUGCAACUGUUUAUUAAAAACACAGCACUCUGCAAACACGAAAGUGGACGUAUAGGGUGUGACGCCUGCCCGGUGCUGGAAGGUUAAUUGAUGAUGUGAGAGCAUUUGAUCGAAGCCCCAGUAAACGGCGGCCGUAACUAUAACGGUCCUAAGGUAGCGAAAUUCCUUGUCGGGUAAGUUCCGACCUGCACGAAUGGCGUAAUGAUGGCCAGGCUGUCUCCACCCGAGACUCAGUGAAAUUGAAAUCGCCGUGAAGAUGCGGUGUACCCGCGGCUAGACGGAAAGACCCCGUGAACCUUUACUAUAGCUUGACACUGAACAUUGAAUUUUGAUGUGUAGGAUAGGUGGGAGACAGAGAAGUAUUAACGCCAGUUAAUAUGGAGUCGUUGUUGAAAUACCACCCUUUAAGGUUUGAUGUUCUAACACAGACUGCGAAACGCGGUCGUGGACAGUGUCUGGUGGGUAGUUUGACUGGGGCGGUCUCCUCCCAAAGCGUAACGGAGGAGUACGAAGGUUUGCUAAUCACGGUCGGACAUCGUGAGGUUAGUACAAUGGUAUAAGCAAGCUUGACUGCGAGACGGACAGGUCGAGCAGGUGCGAAAGCAGGUCAUAGUGAUCCGGUGGUUCUGAAUGGAAGGGCCAUCGCUCAACGGAUAAAAGGUACUCCGGGGAUAACAGGCUGAUACCGCCCAAGAGUUCAUAUCGACGGCGGUGUUUGGCACCUCGAUGUCGGCUCAUCACAUCCUGGGGCUGAAGUAGGUCCCAAGGGUAUGGCUGUUCGCCAUUUAAAGUGGUACGCGAGCUGGGUUUAGAACGUCGUGAGACAGUUCGGUCCCUAUCUGCCGUGGGCGUUGGAAAAUUGAAAGGGGCUGCUCCUAGUACGAGAGGACCGGAGUGGACGCACCGCUGGUGUUCCCGUUGUUUCGCCAGAAGCAUUGCGGGGUAGCUAUGUGCGGAAGAGAUAAGUGCUGAAAGCAUCUAAGCACGAAACUUGCCUUGAGAUGAGUUUUCCCACACUUAGAGUGUGUAAGGGUUGUUUAAGACUAAGACGUAGAUAGGCGGGGUGUGUAAGUGUAGUGAUAUAUUGAGCUAACCCGUACUAAUUGCCCGAGAGGCUUAACCAUACAACGCUCAAGGGUUUU